CGUUACCCGGAGUGGAGGACCGAACCGCCAGACGUUGAAAAGUCUUCGGAUGACCUGUGGGUAGGGGUGAAAGGCCAAUCAAACCAAGAGAUAGCUCGUACUCUCCGAAAUGCAUUUAGGUGCAGCCUUGAGCUCUAUAGUUAUAGAGGUAGAGCGACUGAUUGGAUGCGGGGGCUUCACCGCCUACCAAUUCCAGACAAACUCCGAAUGCUAUAACUUUAUACUCAAGAGUGAGGGCAUGGGUGCUAAGGUCCAUGUCCGAGAGGGGAACAACCCAGACCAUCAGCUAAGGUCCCAAAAUUUAUACUAAGUUGACCUAACGUGGUUCGAUUGCAUUGACAGCUAGGAUGUUGGCUUGGAAGCAGCCAUUCAUUUAAAGAGUGCGUAACAGCUCACUAGUCGAGCGAUCGAGCGUGGAUAAUAAUCGGGCAUAAGUAUAAUACCGAAGCUAUGGAUAUGUCUUUGACAUAUGGUAGGAGAGCAUUCUAGUUGCGCCGAAGGUGUGUUGUGAAGCAUGCUGGAGCGGCUAGAAAAGAAAAUGUAGGAAUGAGUAACGAUAAUGCGGGUGAGAAACCCGCACGCCAAUAGACUAAGGUUUCCUGAUCAACGCUAAUCGGAUCAGGGUUAGUCGGGUCCUAAGGCAAACCCGAAUGGGAUAGUCGAUGGACAACUGGUUAAUAUUCCAGUACUAGUUAUUACUGCGAUGGAGUGACGGAGAAGUGAAAGGACUCCGACCAGACGGAAUUGGUCGGUAAAGCACGUAGGUAUAUUUUCUAUAGGCAAAUCCGUAGAGAAUGCUGAAAUGCGAUAGUACUAGGAGGCUUCGGCUGAAUAGAUUGUCUGUAAUCAUGCUCCCAAGAAAAACUUCUAAGCAUCACGUAAUAACUACCCGUACCAUAAACCGACACAGGUAGUCAAGUAGAGAAUACUAAGGCGCUCGAGUGAUCCGUGGCUAAGGAACUAGGCAAAAUGGCCUCGUAACUUCGGGAGAAGAGGCGCUUACUCAUGUUUACAUGAGAAGCCGCAGUGAAUAGGCCCAAGCGACUGUUUAUCAAAAACACAGGACUAUGCUAAAUCGAAAGAUGAUGUAUAUGGUCUGACACCUGCCCGGUGCCGGAAGGUUAAGAGGAGGGGUUAUACUUCGGUAGAAGCUCUGAAUUGAAGCCCCGGUAAACGGCGGCCGUAACUAUAACGGUCCUAAGGUAGCGAAAUUCCUUGUCGGGUAAGUUCCGACCUGCACGAAUGGUGUAACGAUUUGGGCACUGUCUCAGCCACGAGCUCGGUGAAAUUGUAGUAUCGGUGAAGAUGCCGAUUACCCGCAACGGGACGAAAAGACCCCGUGAACCUUCACUACAACUUAACAUUGAUUUCGGAUAAAUAAUGUGUAGGAUAGGUGGGAGACUACGAAGCUGCGUCGCUAGG
rnacentral:rRNA from 1 species